rnacentral:sRNA from 1 species
UUGUAAGGAAAUCUGGGCUGGGACCUCAGGAGCCUAGGCUUUCUCAGAAUUCAGUGCUUAAGGUGAUGAGUCCUUCAUUCUUAUAGAAAGAGCAUUUUAUCAAGGGCCUGCCAGAAUACCACGUGGUGGGUCCAGUCCGAGUAGAUGCCAGUGGGCAUUUUUUGUCAUAUGGCUUGCACUAUCCCAUCACGAGCAGCAGGAGGAAGAGAGAUUUGGAUGGCUCAGAGGACUGGGUGUACUACAGAAUUUCUCACGAGGAGAAGGACCUGUUUUUUAACUUGACGGUCAAUCAAGGAUUUCUUUCCAAUAGCUACAUCAUGGAGAAGAGAUAUGGGAACCUCUCCCAUGUUAAGAUGAUGGCUUCCUCUGCCCCCCUCUGCCAUCUCAGUGGCACGGUUCUACAGCAGGGCACCAGAGUUGGGACGGCAGCCCUCAGUGCCUGCCAUGGACUGGUAAGUGCAGGCUCUGGCUUCCUCUGCCCUGGCCCCUAGAGUCUCAGCUGGUAGACCUACUACCAACAGGUUCACAGAUGCACUGACAUAUGGGAGUUGAACCCCUGUGAUGUGAUGAUCCUGGCCUCCAAAGUGGUUGGCAAGAAAGUAUUUAAUAAAUAAAAGAGAUCGACUUGAGAGAUACAAAGAGUAAGGGCACUGAGGAUUCAGAGGAGGCAGACAGAACUCCAACCGGCAACAUCAGGGUGG